GGCGGUUAGCUUUUGGGUUUCUUCUACUCCUCCGACCUGGGCUCUGUAGUCUGCAAUUAUUUGGGGGUUAUCUGUAGCUACUAGUUUGCUUGAACUGAAUAAGGAGUUGACUGAGCCGGCCAUUUCAGUUAGCUCAAACCGAAGAAAAAAAGGUGUGUUACUUGUCUAUUUGGAUACUUGGGUAGCCACUGAAUUUUACUGUUGAGGUCUAAUAUGUGUCAGGGCAUCUAAACUGCAGCAUUUACUGACGUGAUGUGUAUAGGUUACAAGGAUGCGUGUAUGUGUACUUGGAUGUUCAGUUCUUACUUGCAAAUAAUGUUGUGUCAAGAGUCAACACAUCCCUGUCCGGUUUAUUAUUUUGGGGAUCCAGUGAUUUUUUUUCCUGUUAGCAG
rnacentral:lncRNA from 1 species